rnacentral:rRNA from 1 species
CCUCCUAUAAGACCGUACCCUAAACCGACACAGGUGGACUGGUAGAGCAUACCAAGGCGCUUGAGAGAACGAUGUUGAAGGAACUCGGCAAAAUACCUCCGUAAGUUCGCGAGAAGGAGGCCCGGUUCCUAGGCAACUAGGGGCUGGGGGCACAAACCAGGGGGUGGCGACUGUUUAUUAAAAACACAGGGCUCUGCGAAGUCGCAAGACGACGUAUAGGGUCUGACGCCUGCCCGGUGCCUGAAGGUUAAAAGGAGAGGUGAGAGCCUUGAAUUGAAGCCCAGGUAAACGGCGGCCGUAACUAUAACGGUCCUAAGGUAGCGAAAUUCCUUGUCGGGUAAGUUCCGACCUGCACGAAUGGCGUAACGACUUCCCCGCUGUCUCCAACAUCGACUCAGCGAAAUUGAAUUGCCUGUCAAGAUGCAGGCUUCCCGCGGUUAGACGGAAAGACCCCGUGCACCUUUACUACAGCUUCGCACUGGCAUCAGGAUUGUGAUGUGCAGGAUAGGUGGUGGGCUUUGAAGCAGAGACGCAAGUCUUUGUGGAGCCUCCCUUGAGAUACCACCCUUCGCACUCUUGAUGUCUAACCGCGGUCCGUUAUCCGGAUCCGGGACCCUGCGUGGCGGGUAGUUUGACUGGGGCGGUCGCCUCCUAAAGCGUAACGGAGGCGCGCGAAGGUUGGCUCAGAGCGGUCGGAAAUCGCUCGUUGAGUGCAAUGGCAGAAGCCAGCCUGACUGCGAGACUGACAAGUCGAGCAGAGUCGAAAGACGGCCAUAGUGAUCCGGUGGUCCCGAGUGGAAGGGCCAUCGCUCAACGGAUAAAAGGUACGCCGGGGAUAACAGGCUGAUACUGCCCAAGAGUCCAUAUCGACGGCAGUGUUUGGCACCUCGAUGUCGGCUCAUCUCAUCCUGGGGCUGGAGCAGGUCCCAAGGGUACGGCUGUUCGCCGUUUAAAGAGGUACGUGAGCUGGGUUUAGAACGUCGUGAGACAGUUCGGUCCCUAUCUGCCGUGGGUGUAGGAGACUUGAGAGGAGUUGCCCCUAGUACGAGAGGACCGGGGUGAACGAUCCACUGGUGGACCAGUUGUCGUGCCAACGGCAGUGCUGGGUAGCUAUGAUCGGACAGGAUAACCGCUGAAGGCAUCUAAGCGGGAAGCCCCCCUCAAAACAAGGUCUCCCUGAGGGCCGUGGAAGACCACCACGUCAAUAGGCCGGAGAUGUAAGCGCAGUAAUGCGUUCAGUUGACCGGUACUAAUCGCCCGAUAGGCUUGAU